AUUAGGGAUCUUGCGCAAUGGGCGAAAGCCUGACGCAGCGACGCCGCGUGACCGAUGAAGUCCUUCGGGAUGUAAAGGUCUUUUGGCAGGGAAGAAGGAAGUGACGGUACCUGCAGAAUAAGCCCCGGCUAACUACGUGCCAGCAGCCGCGGUAAUACGUAGGGGGCGAGCGUUGUCCGAAGUUACUGGGCGUAAAGCGCGCGUAGGCGGUUGUUUAAGUUAGAUGUGAAAUCCCGCGGCCCAACUGCGGAACUGCAUCUGAAACUGGGCGACUUGAGGACGGAAGAGGGCAGUGGAAUUCCUGGUGUAGCGGUGAAAUGCGUAGAUAUCAGGAGGAACACCGGUGGCGAAGGCGGCUGCCUGGUCCGUAUCUGACGCUGAGGUGCGAAAGCUAGGGGAGCGAACGGGAUUAGAUACCCCAGUAGUCC
rnacentral:rRNA from 1 species